GUGAUUGCUUCAACAGCACAUAAACUAAAAUUGGAAGAUAUAUAGAAGAUUAGCAUGGCCCCUGUGCAAGGAUGACAUGCAAAUCCGUGAAACAUUCCAUAUUUUU